CUGAGGACCACCACUGUCGUAGAGCAAGAGAGACAUUCUCACUCAACACACCUGUCAACUCCACACCUGUCAACUCUACACCUAUUACGUUGAGCACAGCCAGGUCCUGCGAUAAGUAGAAAUGAACAUCAACAUUGUGUUGGUGGUGCUGGUGGCGCUGCUGGGGGCGGUGCUGGCGGGGCCGCAGCUCAUCACCAAGAAGAGAGACUUCCCUGGCCAGAGGCGCCUCGGGACCACCAACUACCGUGGCCACAGUUUCGGCAAGAGAGGCUACAGUAGCCUACCAUUGGCGAGACAGAAGUAUUAGAAGAAUAGGAUGAUGACAAUGGAGUCCCUUUAUGCUGGAAGAUGAUCUGGAAAUCAAUUCCACUGGCAAAUCAUAUCCUGCCUGAGGAACCUCACUCAACCUUCAUGAUUUGCUGAUUGUUGCCGCCGGAGGCGGCUAGUUUAUUAUGCACCCCAUACCCAUCCUGUGAGCAGUAGCGGAAAAAGCAUUACAGAGGGCACAAAAGGUCUUUAUCAGACCUCAUCUUAGAUUAUUACAUAAACAAUCUCAUCUAUCCUUCACACCUUAUAGUUACAAUGUCAGCUAGUUACAGACAAAGUGCCAUUUCAAGAGCUAUGCAUUUACAGUAAGUCAUUAUACAUUAAAGCCUUCAUGAGGCACCUCGUAUCCUGCCUGAAGAACAUGCUCAUAUCCUUAAUGAGGCAACACACAACAAGCCCCAAACAAGAAAUAUAAUCUACUUGACCAACCACAAGCGUCGCUUCUGUUGAUCUGCCACCUGCAGGCAACAACAGCCUGAGAAUCAUGUCUGGUCAUUGAUGUCCUUGGAAUGUGAGAAAUGUGUUUAUCUCUUAUCUUCGCUAUUAGCAUGUUGCCUCGAUCCCCUUUGAUGAAUACCAAUCUACAGAUUUGCUCAUAUCAUCACACUACGAUGUACGAUAUUGUCUACUGUUGAGUUACUCACUUCUCUGUUUUAUCUAUGUUGUAUGUUUUUUAUAUUUAUAUUGUAGAAUACACUGUUAUGUUUCCUAGUUUAAAAGUACGUCUGUAGGGCGUGUGAGCGAGACUCAUAGUUGUUAAAUAUUGUAAAUAUUUUGUACGCGUCCAUGUUAAACGCCUUUUUAAUAUCGUUAAGUUGUAAUUAACUGUAUAAAUAUUUACGAAACGAGCGGAAUUGCCAUGUAAAUUAUAAUUACUGUUAUAAAUAAACUGACAAAACCUG